CCUACGGGAGGCAGCAGUAGGGAAUAUUGCUCAAUGGGGGAAACCCUGAAGCAGCAACGCCGCGUGGAGGAUGAAGGUUUUAGGAUUGUAAACUCCUUUUGUUAGAGAAGAUUAUGACGGUAUCUAACGAAUAAGCAACGGGUAACUCCGUGCCAGCAGCCGCGGUAAUACGGCGGGUGCAAGCGUUACUCGGAAUCAAUGGGCGGAAAGAGUGCGUAGGCGGGGUAAUAAGUCAGAUGUGAAAUCCUUGAGCUUAACGAAAGAACUGAAUUUGAAACUGUUAAUCUGGAGUGUGGGAGAGGUAGGUGGAAUUCUUGGUGUAGGGGUAAAAUCCGUAGAGAUCAAGAGGAAUACUCAUUGCGAAGGCGACCAGCUGGAACAUUACUGACGCUGAUGAACGAAAGCGUGGGGAGCAAACAGGAUUAGAUACCCCUGUAGUC
rnacentral:rRNA from 1 species